GACGAACGCUGGCGGCGUGCUUAACACAUGCAAGUCGAACGGAAAGGCCCUGCUUUUGUGGGGUGCUCGAGUGGCGCACGGGUGUGUUACACGUGAGUAUCCUGCCCUUGACUUUGGGAUAACUUCAGGCAACUGGGGCUACUACCGGAUAGGAGCUCCUGCUGCAUGGUGGGGGUUGGACAGUUUCGGCGGAUGGGGAUGGACUCGCGGUUUACUAGCUUGUUGGUGGGGUAGUGGCUUACCAAGGCUUUGACGGGUAGCCGGCCUGAGAGGGUGACCGGCGACAUUGGGACUGAGAGACGGCCCAGACUCCUACGGGAGGCAGCAGGGGGGAAUAUGGCACAAUGGGCGGAAGCCUGAGGCAGCAACGCCGCGUGCGGGAUGACGGCCUUCGGGUUGUAAACCGCUUUCGCCUGUGACGAAGCGUGAGUGACGGUAAUGGGUAAAGAAGCACCGGCUAACUACGUG
rnacentral:rRNA from 1 species